GACAUAAUGCAACUAGCACAAUCAAAUAAUCAUGAGGGAUAAGCUUCGUAGUCGAGAGGGCAACAGCCCAGACCAACAGCUAAGGCGCCUAAAUACAGUUAAGUGGAAAGGAUGUGACGUUGCAUAGACAGUGAGGAUGUUGGCUUAGAGGCAGCCACCAUUUAAACAGUGCGUAAUAGCUGACUCAUCGAGCGAUGUCGCGCCGAAAAUGAUUGGCGAUUAAACUGUAUGCCGAAGCUUUGGAUUGUUCUGAUUUAUCAGAACAGUGGUAGGAGAGCGUUCUGAACUGCGUAGAAGCCUAACUAAAAAGGACGGUGGAGUGUUCAGAAGUGAGAAUGCAGACAUGAGUAGCGAUAAACCAGAUGAGAAUUCUGGUCGCCGUAAACCUAAGGUUUCCUGGGGCAGGUUCGUCCUCCCAGGGUUAGUCGGGAGCUAAGGCGAGGCCGUAAGGCGUAGUCGAUGCACAGCAGGUUAAUAAUCCUGCACCGGCUUGGUUUAAGGUUGGAAAGGAAGCAAGGAGAAAAGUGACUAGGCAAUCGAAUGCUGAGCUUAGCCUUCGGGCGAAGCGUAUCACCAGACAACUUGUCUAGAAAAGUUUCCAACUGUUCCCCAGGUUGCCCGUACCGUAAACCGACACAGGUGGGUGAGUCGAAUAGACUAAGGCGCGCGAGAGAAACCUCUCUAAGGAACUCGGCACAUUAGCCCCGUAACUUCGGGAGAAGGGGUCCCUUUCUUUGGAAAGGGUUCAAUAAAUUGCGUUUAGCGACUGUUUAACAAAAACACAGCACUCUGCUAAGUCGUGAAGACGACGUAUAGGGUGUGACACGUGACCAAUGCGGAAGAUCAAGGCGUUUUGUCAGGGCCGUAAGGCUCGAAGCUCGGCGUCUAAGUCCCCGUGAAUGUCGGCCGUAACUAUAACGGUCCUAAGGUAGCGAAAUUCCUUGUCGGGUAAGUUCCGACCUGCACGAAUCGUGUAACGACUGAACGACUGUCUCGGAGAGGAUCUCGGCGAAAUUGUAACUGCGGUGAAGAUGCCGCAUGCCCGCAGUAGGACGGAAAGACCCUAUGCACCUUUACUGUAAGCUGGUAUUGUGUUCUGAUUAAUGAUGCGUAGCGUAGGUGGGAGACUUUGAAGUGAUGGCUUCGGCCAUCAUGGAGUCGCAAUGUGAAACACCACUCUUCGUUAAUUAGGAUUCUAACCUCUGUCUGUGAAGCCAGAAGAGGGACAGUGCCUGCAGGUCAGUUUGGCUGGGGCGGCUUCCUCCCAAAUUGUAACGGAGGAGCGCUAAGCUUGGCUCAGCAUGGUUUGCAACCAUGCGUCGAGCGUAUGGGUAGAAGCCAGGUUAACUGCGAGACCAACAAGUCGAGCAGAUGCGAAAGCAGGCCCAAAUGAUCCGAUGGUUUAAUGUGGAAUUGCCAUCGCUCAACGGACAAAAGGUACGCUAGGGAUAACAGGCUGAUC
rnacentral:rRNA from 1 species